GAGUCAAUUUCAUGCCUGGAGGAAUCUGUAAAUAUCUUUCUGGAUAUUGGAAGGUUUAAUAUGUCUGCAAGGUAUUAUAAGUUUGAUGUAUUCCAGCUGAGCCUUUGUGUGCACGCAUAUGAGUUUUUAUCAAGGGAGGAAGAUCAAGAUGGAGAUGUUACUUUCAAAAAGGGAGGAAGAUCAAGAUGGAGAUGAGCGCGAAGGAAGCCUUUGAGAGGUCGAUGAGGACUUUGUCGGAGUGGAUAAGCCAGGAAGUGAAUCGAAAUAUGUAAUGAUCUUAGAUACUUGAUACUUGGUUCAUUCGGAUGAUAAUGUACGAAUAUUUUGGAUAAUAUAUAAUAUUGUUAUUGUUGAUUUUA